GUGCAAACGAGUAUAUAAAGGAAACACCAAACAAAGAAGAAGAAAAAGAGCAAAUGUCUUUGAAGUCUAGAAAAUUAGGAGAUUGGAAAUUGUCGUGAGCAGCGGCAGCAGCCAUCCAUUGAGUGCUGAAAAUAAUAGCUUUUAACUCUGUGGUAGCAAUUUGGAAUUGAUGGAAGGAUCAUGGACUGAAAUCAAUGGAAUACUUGCCAAGCAUGGUUAUAAUAGUAAUAGCAAUGGUAACGAUAGCAAUGUCAGCAGCAGCUCGAGUGAUAGUGAUCACAUGAUGAACACAGCAGCCAGUGAACUUGAGGGAGAUGCUGACAAUUUAACAUGUAGACAGUCUGGUUUAUCUUAUAAUGAUCAUUCAGAGAAUGGCCCCAAAUUGAAGGGAUUGAUGUAGUUCUUUAAAUUGUUGAAGUAAAGGUGGGCGAGUCUCUAAUUGCCUAAACUAGUGUAAAUUAUUGUCUGACAAACAACUGUUUCCAGGGAGAGGCUUCGUACACAUCAUAGGUACAUUCAUAUGUAGCUAAUGAUUACAGAUAUGUUGCUUGUUAUGAACGAGCAGCUUGUUAUUUAUUCAAAAUUGUGAACUCCAAAUGCAGGACUGGCUUUUUUGAUCGUCAGUUAACUCAAAUGGUGCAGCUCUAUGUUAGCUAUUCUAUUUAUUACUUCAUUUCCAUCAUUUGUGCUAUUGAACCUCAAUCUUAUGAAUCCCAUUUUACUUUAAAAAUAUAGUUUGGUGGAUGCAAAUGAAAUUUUCUUCCAAAUUGAUUAUGCUAGCAUCAAAACAGUAUUGAGGCAACAAAAUAUAGUACUGAUGUACCCUUGAGAAUGAUGUCUUUGUUUAUUUAUCAGACUACAGUCUUACUUUUGAUACUGUUUAUUUUUCAUGAUUAUGCUACU